rnacentral:rRNA from 1 species
UACAGAGGUCUCAAGCGUUGUUCGGAUUCAUUGGGCGUAAAGGGUGCGUAGGUGGCAUGGUAAGUCGGGUGUGAAAUCCCGGGGCUCAACCCCGGAACUGCACUCGAUACUGCCGUGCUCGAGUACUGGAGAGGAGACUGGAAUUUACGGUGUAGCAGUGAAAUGCGUAGAGAUCAUGAGGAAGACCAGUGGCGAAGGCGGGUCUCUGGACAGUUCCUGACACUGAGACACGAAGGCCAGGGGAGCAAACGGG